CUUGAUGGUCACGCUGAAGUGAAGCGUGUCGACCAGGGUUGAUGGGUUGAUUUGGAGAAAGACGCUGGAUUGCGGAGAGUCGAUGGUUAAUGGCGGAUUCUGGGUAAUAUGUCGAUCCAGUUCCAGAUUGGGUGAUGCUUGCAGUGCGUUUUGUCCAAUUCGGGACAGCUUCAACGUCGGCAUUGUUUUUGUUUUUUGUUUUUUUUUGUUUUUUUUUUUUCAAUCUCUUGAUACAACUAGGGAGUCUGAGGACGAUGUUAUGGUUUCUUUUGUAGCGCACCCUGUCGGAAACAUCGUCCUUGUUAAGGCAGGAAGGUAAGGUCUGGGCAGUCAUGAGGACAACUCGUCCAAUUCACGGAGCAGUCUCGGCGCCUCACGCUGUCAAUGUUCAAAUGAAUCUCAUGCUUCGCAUCAUGCACUUGUGCAGAUAGAUCAUAGUCAUCGCGGUCUACAGGAAACGAAAUCCCCAACCGGAAGAAAUUCAGUUCACCACGCUCACUUGUCCCUCCAAAACAGAGUGAUUGAGGAUGCUCCAAGUGAACACAUCUCGCAAUUGGAGACCAGAAAAAUGAAGUCCACAAUCUUCCCCGUCCCGCUCGUCACAGACAACUCUGGCAACGCUGCAGGUUCACACCUCGCCUUCGUCCAACUUGUGUUUGUUUCAUAAUUCCGAUGGUCUUUCCCAUGGCAACCAGUUUCUCGAGAAGCACCAAAUCCAGCUGCAACUUAGCAUUUCCAUCCAACAGACACAACUACAUUUCCAGGAGCUGGAUUCACGUCGCAAUUCUGAUUAACUUGACAUCUCUUUAAUCUACUUGUAAAUACUCAAC
rnacentral:lncRNA from 1 species